CAGUCGCCGCGGUAAUACGAAGGGGGCUAGCGUUGUUCGGAAUUACUGGGCGUAAAGCGCACGUAGGCGGAUACUUAAGUUAGGGGUGAAAUCCCAGGGCUCAACCCUGGAACUGCCUUUAAUACUGGGUAUCUUGAGUUCGAGAGAGGUAAGUGGAAUUCCGAGUGUAGAGGUGAAAUUCGUAGAUAUUCGGAGGAACACCAGUGGCGAAGGCGGCUUACUGGCUCGAUACUGACGCUGAGGUGCGAAAGCGUGGGGAGCAAACAGGAUUAGAGACCCCUGUAGUCCCUGUCUCUUAUAC
rnacentral:rRNA from 1 species